UUUUUUUUUUUUUUUUUUUUUGGUUCUUUUUUUGGAGCUGGGGACCGAACCCAGGGCCUUGCGCUUCCUAGGCAAGCGCUCUACCACUGAGCUAAAUCCCCAAACCCCUCAGACUCUGAUUUAACAGUGUCAUAACUUACAGAUGAGAUGAAAACUGUUUCCUGUGAAGCGUCAGGAGUGAGUCAAAUGGCAUGCUUACAGGACCUGGGCAUGGCUCAAUGGGAAAGUAAGAAAACACAAUGUCUGUGCAUGUGUUAUGUACAUAUGCUUGUGAGCACCUGUGUGUGCAGAAGCCAGAGGAAAAAUGCCUGCUGUUCUGCUGAGACAUCUCUUACUGAACCUGGAGCUAGGCUGCUACAGUGAGCUCCAGAGUCCUCCUGUGUCUGUACCCCUGCCCUACACUGCCCCUACCACUGGGUCACAGGUGUGCACAGCCACAGAGCUUUUUACGUGGGUGCUGGGGAUUUGAAUUUAGGGGGAACUUUAUCUGACUUUAUUAGUAGGGAUUUAAAGCUAGAGGUCUUAGUAUGAGGAUUGGCAAAGUAACAGCAGUGGGUAGAAUGGAAGGUUAAGGUGGACCACAGGUGAUGGACCCAUUGGUCUUUGACACACCAUAUGAGGGGGCUGGAGAGGUGGCUGGGAGAUUAGGAGCACUUGUUCUUGCAGGGGACCCACCUGUAUGAUGGAUCAUGACCAUUCAUGCUAUAAUUAACUCCAGUCUAGGGGGUUGGACACCCUCUUCUCACUUCUGUGAGCACCGGCAUGCAAACAGGGUACAUAAGUGUAAGCAAAGCACUCAUGCACAUAGACCAAAAAUAAACUUGAGAUAGACAAUAGAAGUAUGAGAACUAGGGGUGGGGAUUUAGCUCAGUGGUAGAGCACUUGCCUAGCAAGCGCAAGGCCCUGGGUUCGGGCCUCAGCUCUGAAAAAAAAAAAAAAGAGAAGUAUGAGAACUAAACUGAAAUAUUUACAAGAAAACAUUCAUGACCUUUUAGAUAGGCAGAAUUCUGUGUAAACUAAAAAAUACCAUGAAAGAAUUUACAAGUAGAACUUCCUCAAAAUAAUUUCCACUCAUCAAAAGGUGGUGUUAAGGAAGUGGGAAGACAAGCUCCAGUGGGGAAUUCAUGGGUGUAUGCAGAGACACAGAAUUGUGUAUCACACUGUGCUGGUUUGGUUGUUUUUGAUCAACAAACCAGAGUCACCAGGGAAGAGGGAACCUUAGUUGAGAAAAUGCCUCCAUCAGAUUGGUGGGUGGACAAGUGAAGCAGUCUGAAUGAGAGUGGCUCCCACUUACUUUGAACAUGUGGUCCUCGGUUGUUUGGAAAGGAUUAGAUGUGUGGCCUUGCUAGAGGAGGUAUGCUACUAGGGAUGGGCACUGAAGUUUCAAAAGCCUGGACCAGUCUCUUCUCUUCUCUUCUCUUCUCUUCUCUUCUCUUCUCUUCUCUUCUCUUCUCUUUCUUCUCUUCUCUUCUCUUCUCCUUCUCUUUUCUCUCUCUCUCUCUCUCUCUCUCUCUCUCUCUCUCUCUCUCUCUCUGCCUGCUGCUUUUGAACCAGAUGUGACCUCUCAGCUACUGCUGCCGUGCUCCCUGCUGUGAAGGUCAUAGACUUUAACUCUCGAAACCACAAACCCCCAAUAAACUAGUAUAAAUUGCCUUGGCCAUUCUGUCUUACCACACCAAUAGAAAAGUAACUAAGACAAUAAGUCUGUAAGGCAUUUUCUUUAUUCACAGUUGAUAUGAGAGGGCCCACCCCAUUGUGGGCAGUGCAGCCCUCGGCAGAUAGUCCUAGGUUGUAUAAAAAAGGGAACCCAAGAGAGUCAUUCAUCCAUGGUCUCCACUUCAGUUCUUUUUUUUUUUAAAUUUAUUUUUUUUAAGAUUUUAUUUUAUUGUAUAUGAGUACACUGUAGCUGCCUUCAGACACACCAGAAGAGGGCAUCAGAUCUCAUUACAGAUGGUUGUGAGCCACCAUGUGGUUGCUGGGAUUUGAACUCAGGACCUCAGGAAGAGCAGUCAGUGCUCUUAACCACUGAGCCAUCUCUCCAGCCCUCCGCUUCAGUUCUUAUUUCCAGGCCUUGAAUCCCUUCUCUGACUUUCCGCAAUGAUGGACUGUAAGCUGUAAGACGAGAUAAACAUUUUCCACCCCAAGUUUCUUUUGGUCAUGGCGUUUAUCACAGCAAGAGAAAGCGACCUAAGACAUAAACCUGACUUAAAAAUGGACUGUCUUUUAAGAACGAUUUAUUUUCGUGUCUGUGGGUAUGUGCAUGCAUGGGUGUAGGUGCCAAGAAGUUGGGGAGACAUUAGAUCCUCAAGUUAACAGUCAGUUGUGAGCUGCCCAACAUACAUGUUGGUAACCCAGCCAGAGCCCUUUACAAGAGCAGUGCCAACUCUUCAGGCCAAAAGGGAUUCUCAGACAGAAACUGACAAAUGUUCAACAGACGCAUGAAAAGGUAGCAUUGCUACAGGAUGAAGGAAUGCGAAACAAGAGAAAGGGAUGCCAUCACAGCCACAGGAAAGCGCGGCGUGAAGACCAGCAGUGUGAGUUCUGUAAGGUGCAGAGCAACUGCAGUCCUCACACAGUGCGGGCAGAAUACAAAACGGGCCAGCCCGGUUAAAAACUUAAAGAGAAUGGUGCUAGUAGUCCUAGCAUUUGUUGACAGGUAGAGGCAGGUUGAGUUGAAGAGAACACUGACAACAUCAGACUUUGUCAUUACACAGUUAACCUCUGAAGCAGAAAUUCCACUUUGAAUGUUUGGAGAGAAAUUGGUCUACAAAAAGACUUGGAUAAAAAUGUUAUCACCUUUGCACAAGUUAGAAACAAGUCGAGUAUUCAUUAAGAGAAUAAAUGUAAGGGGAUCAGGGGAUAGCCUGCAUGAAGCCCUGAGUUUGGAUUCCUAGCACCCAUAUAAAAGUGGGCACUGGGGUCACAAGUCUGUAGCUCCACCAGUGUGGGGCUGCUAGGGAGAGCCAUCUUGAGUUCAGCAACCUUCCAGUGUAGCCAGAGUGUGAGUUCCCGUUUCAGUAAGGAAUCCUAUCUCAAAAUGAAGGUGGAGAAUUACAGAGGAAAGACACCCACCAUUGGAUUGGACUCCUUCUCCUCUCCUCUCCUCUCCUCUCCUCUCCUCUCCUCCUCUCCUCCUCUCUUCUCUCUCCUCUCUUCUCUCUCUCCACACACACACACAUACACACACACACACACAAAGAAUAAAUGGUGACAUUCAUAUGUUAAUUUUCUCCCCCACUGCUUCGACACAACCAAAAACAACUUGGGAAGGAGCAACUCCCAGUGACAUUCAUUGAGACAAGUCAGAGCAGAAACUGACUCAGAAGCCAUGAAGGAACACUGCUUACUAGCUUGCUCCCAUGGCUUGCUCAGCCUGCUCUCUUAGAGUCCAGGACUACCUGCCCAGGGGUGACAGUGCCCAAUCCCCGAUCAAUCAUGAAUCAAGGAAAUGACCUACAGACUUAGCUACCCACUAAUCUGAUGGAGGCAUUUUUCUUUUCAGUUAAGGUUCCCUCUCUGAUGACCCUUGCUUGUGUCACAUGAACAAAAGCCAAUCCACACAGAUCAUAUUGACAUCAAUAGAUAGAUAGAUAGAUUAGAUGAUAGAUGAUAGAUAGAUAGAUAGAUAGAUAGAUAGAUAGAUAGAUAGAUAGAUAGUGUCAAUGGUUUCCAAGAUGUUGAACAGUAUUAGAUUUAACAGCGUACAUGCUAUUUUUGAAAUGCAUUCAAAGAUAGGCUAAAGUAUGGUGGAUCACACCUGUGAUUCUAGCACUCGGGAGGUUGAGGCUGGGGAAUUGUUAACAGGUUUGAAACCAGCCUUAGCCACUUAGUGAGUCUAGGGCUAGAUUAAGCUACAGAGUGAAGCCCUGACUCAAACAAGCAGGGCAGCCCAGUAAGAGUGCAUGUGGCCAGACGGCCUAUAUUGGUGGAAGGGGAGAACUGAUGGUGUGAACUCGAACCUCUCCUGAAUCUUUAUUACAUUUUAAAAAAUAUGUGUAUCAGGAGGCAGAGGCAGGUAGUGAGUUCAAGAUGAACCUGAGCUGCAGUGAGUUCCAGGUCAGCCUGGGCUACACCAUUAGACCUGGUCUCUAAAUAAAUACACAAGACAAAAGUAAUUCACAGUGAUAAAAAGUCAAAACAGUGGUCACUUGUUUUCUUUCUGGAGAUAUUCUAGUGUGCUAGGAUGUGCCACAUCUGAGUUGGUGGAUGCAAAUCUGUUCUAAAUAGGGGUUGGGGAUUUAGCUCAGUGGUAGAGCACUCGCCUAGCAAGCACAAGGCCCUGGGUUCGGUCCUCAGCUUAAAAAAAAAAAAAAAAAGAUACGGGGCACUUUGCUCUAUGUAAACUAUAACACAAAGGAAAUAUCAAAACGAACUGUAUCUAGGAAGUUUCAAUUAUUGAGGACUUUGUGUUGAAACUUAGUGAAGAUUUAUAAAUUAAUUAAACUGUAUUUGGGGAAACAGUAUUUUCAUUGUUAAAAAGACAAUAAAUGGAUUCUAUAUUCUAAUAAACUUACAAAUCAACAGAAACAGAAAUAAGAGAGUUGAAAAAGAAAAGUGAGUAAAAGGAAAUGUUUCUUUAAAAGCGUGGGAACAACUAGGAGAGUUUGAAGACUAUCUGGGAUGCCCAGUGGGUGGUUCUUGUGAUUUUUUUUUUUUUUGUCUUUAAACUUCAGUACCUUAUUCUGCAAAAGCAUGUGAUUGGAAUAUAAUCCAGGAUCCAUUCAUCUGCUUAGAAUUGAAAACAAAAUCUGAGGCUGGGAAUGUGGCUCAGUGGUAGAGCGUUUGCACAAGGCUCUGUGUUCUCUCAGUUCUGCAAAACCACAAAAAAACCUGUUGACCAUUGAUCAAACUGAUUCCAGCUGACAUUUAUGCUUCAAGUAGCAGGUGUCCGACAAUGUACAUACGUUAGCUCGCAUUAGGUACAUGAUGGCUUCCGCAAAGCUUAGGUAGUGUUACCACCUUGGAUAUCACUAAGUCACCAAGCUUGUCAGCGCUGAUGUGGCUACGACUUCAUGAACUGAGGCCUGACCCAGGUCCCCAGUUGCGAAUGUGUGGUUGUUAGUGGAGACCGCCUUCGCUGAUCGAAAGGGCCCCGCUACCUGCAAGCGCAGGUGGAGGAGUGAUCUCAUUAGACUCUCUAGGCACUAGGCCACACGGCCCAGGGUCUCUCGUUGGGUCCCGAGCUCCCGUGUUCCGUAGCGCCGCGCACCACCCCCGGGGCCUUCAGGUUGUCGGAGGCGGGGACGCGCAUAGGCCGGCGGGAGCGCGCCGAGCUGAGAGGCCUGUGAGCCCAGCUGAGGGAGACAUGCGGCGGACUCGCAGCGCGGUGGCCACUGACCCGCGGGAGCAGCGGCGCUCGGGGGCCUCCGGGGGCCUGAGCGGCGGCGAAAGCCGCGCGCGGCGCUACCAGAGCAGGACUAGGGCCGGGGGCGGGGGCGGGGCGGCCAGUUCGCAGCUGUCCUCAAAGCCGCGGCCCAAGCCACCGCCGCGGGCCCUGGCGGCGGCCGCGGAGGAGCCGCCGCCGGCGGACACCCCCGCCGCCUCGGUGUCGGCGUUCGACCUGGGGGAGCAGCGGGAGCGCUGGGAGACGUUCCAGAAGCGGCAACGGCUCAGCUUCGAGGGCGCCGCCAAGCUGCUGCUGGACACCUUUGAGUACCAGGGCCUGGUGAAGCACACAGGAGGCUGCCACUGUGGAGCAGUUCGUUUUGAAGUUUGGGCUUCGGCAGACUUACACAUCUUUGACUGCAAGGUCGGGAGGGGGAGGGCAGCAGAAAUGAGGUCCAGGAUUGCUGAAUGCUGUGUGGUCUUCCCUGCUGGCUCUGUCACCAGUAGGCUUCACUGCCAUGAAGAGCCGAGGCUUCAGGUGGCCUGUCCAGCUGCCUAAGUCCUCUCCCCUGGAUGGUGCUGAGAAGGCUGUCCCACUUGAGCUGUAGCAUUUGCAAGAAGAAGCAGAAUAGACACUUCAUUGUUCCAGCUUCUCGCUUCAAACUCCUGAAGGGUGCUGAGAGCAUAACCACCUACACAUUUAACACGCACAAAGCCCAGCACACCUUCUGUAAGAGAUGC